UUUUUUUUUUUUUUUAGAAAAAAAUUUACUAGUAUCUUCCAAAAUGCAUAUGGACACAGUCUCAAGCAAUCUGAAGCAAAUAAAAUUGGCAAUUUUCUAACAGAAGCACACCAUAGUCUCUACUAAUUGCCCCAUAAUUAUCAAAAAACACAAUUCAUUUUCAUCCUAACGAAGGCGUCCAUUCAUAGAUUUGUGUAAUUCUUGUAACUGCAACGCUGUUGUAUCAUCCCUCAUUAUCAUAACCUCCCCAGUUUGCGCAAAUCCUGCAUAACUGCAUUAUUUAACGUUUGCCGCGAUGCCCGCCACCUGACCUCGCACCAGGAUAGCGAGCAAAUUGCAACCUUAAAUGGACCGAGUCACGGUCAUGCUCGUCAAAUUUAUA
rnacentral:misc_RNA from 1 species